rnacentral:snRNA from 1 species
GGAUGUGAGGGUGAUCUGGCUGCAACAUCUGUCAUCCUAUUGAUUGCCAGGGGUGAUUUGACUGAUCUGGCUGAUUAGGUAGGGGUCUUCUUUCUCCCUCAAUGCUCCAUUUGUAGCCCUCCCAAAGUUAUGAGCGUGGCGGAAGAGGGUGACUUCCCCAAUAGAAAUGGUACCAUUCAUCGGUCAAGGGUAUACAGUAGCUGCCCACUCCUGCUGGAAACUCCAAACAAGUUCAAGGUCCAUUUGCAGGAGAACGUAGUAUAGUCAAGCUUCUAAUACUGCUGACAUAUCCAAAUAAGGUUGUAUAUGGGGCAGUCUGUCAUUGUUU